GGAGUUGGCCAGGCAAUCGCUGUUGUCGUCAGGACAGCAGAGGAAAGUCCGGGCUCCAUAGGGCAAGACGCCAGGUAACGCCUGGACGGCGCGAGUCGAUGGAAAGUGCCACAGAAAAUAUACCGCCGAUGGCCGCAAGGCACAGGUAAGGGUGAAAUGGUGCGGUAAGAGCGCACCGCGCACGUGGUAACACGUCGUGGCAGGGUAAACCCCGUCUGGAGCAAGGCCAAAUAGGGAUGCUUUCAUGUGGCCCGCAUGGCAUCCGGGUAGGCUGCUUGAGGUGUGUGGUGACACACAUCCCAGAGGAAUGAUUGCCCCCGACAGAACCCGGCUUAUCGGCCAACUCCCUUU
rnacentral:RNase_P_RNA from 1 species